rnacentral:rRNA from 1 species
UACGAAGGGGGCUAGCGUUGUUCGGAAUUACUGGGCGUAAAGCGCGCGCAGGCGGCUAUCCAAGUCAGUGGUGAAAGCCCGGAGCUCAACUCCGGAACUGCCAUUGAAACUGUUUAGCUUGAGGAUGAGAGAGGUGAGUGGAAUUCCCAGUGUAGAGGUGAAAUUCGUAGAUAUUCGCAAGAACACCAGUGGCGAAGACGGCUCACUGGCCCGGUACUGACGCUGAGGUGCGAAAGCGUGGGGAGCAAACAGG